rnacentral:tRNA from 2 species
GGGGGUAUAGCUCAGUUGGUUAGAGCGUUACGUUGACAUCGUAAAGGUCAGUGGUUCGAAUCCACUUAUUCCCACCA